CUCUCUUCGGAGGGAGCGGCAGACGGGUGAGUAACGCGUGGGAACCUACCCAGGGGUACGGAAUAACUCAUGGAAACGUGAGCUAAUACCGUAUACGUCCUGUGGGAGAAAGAUUUAUCGCCCUUGGAUGGGCCCGCGUUGGAUUAGCUAGUUGGUGGGGUAACUGCCUACCAAGGCUACGAUCUAUAGCUGUUCUGAGAGGAAGAUCAGCCACACUGGGACUGAGACACGGCCCAG
rnacentral:rRNA from 1 species